UGGGGUUUUGCACCGGGUCAGCCGGAGAGUCGUGGGCACGUAAAGAACUGGAUAUGAGGCCCUUGGAUGCGUUUUGGUGGAGGAGAUCUCAGAUCCUCCAGGGUUCGUUGCUUCUCUUCUGCUGUCCACUGAUCGCUCCCCGAUGGCUCCUGAAACGCGGUGCACAGGUCGGAAGAACUUGGCUUCAGCGGCCACAAGCUCUCAGCCCUCGAGGCUGGCUUCCGCCCCUCUCACAGCCAGAGUGGCCUGACGUUCUAGACGUGAAAGCUCCUCCUUCGGAGGAGGCUUUCAGGAUCUGCGCGGAGGCGAUCAUCCGCCUGCAAGCUUUGCCUAAGUUUUUCCUGGGGCCCGAGGUUCUUACUUGAAGUUCGAGGCUUGCGUCCUGCCCGCAGUCAGCUGCCGCGAGCUAAGCCUGGGCCAGAAGCUGGAGUGCGCUCUCCUCCGAGCGCCGCCUGCUUCCACUCUUGGGCAAGUGGCUUUCCAACAACACCUAAGCAGCAAGAUGGGAUGGUUUCUGGCUGCAGAACUGCAACCCUUCUGUCCCGGGCAGCUUUCCAAGAGGACCCUCACCAGCCUCCCUGGUGACUACCGUUCCUUCGUUCCUCUUUCCCUACACAUGCGGUCCAGAAAGGACUGAAUACCUGCAGCCCUGCAGCAAAUCACCAAAACCCAAGGGUAGCACCAGGCAAACACCAAGGUCCCACCAAGAUUUCUCGACUUGACUGAAAGAUUGCGUUGUCUCUCGGAAAACACGCUCCUCCUUAGUGCUAGGAGAGAGAGGAGCAAUCAGCCUCCAAACUGACCAAACGUUGGCGGUUAAUUAGCUUUUCAAUACACCUAUCCAGACAGUGUUCGAGCAUCGCAAAUAUGUUUCUUCCCAGUGUUGAUGAUAUUGAUAGAUUUGUAGAAUCUCUCCUACGACUGACUGAUCGAUGGUGAUGAUACAUAACAAGGUGUUAUAUGAUGCUUAGCUUAUACCCCAGACACUAUACUAAGUGGUGUGCAUGGAUAAAUUCAUUUACUACGGGAAGACACUAGGCUUUGCUUAUUUUGUCAAGUAAUGACAAUGUGAACACAUCCUCAGUACAAAAUAUACCUGAGUAUAUAAUUGUUUUUAUUUUGGAAUGUAAACGCUUUUACUAGAUAUUCUAAAUUGCUCUCCUACCAUUUACGUAUGAGAGGGAUUUCCUCACAUUCUCAUAAUUUUGUCAUAAUGUGAUAUAGAUUUUUGUGUUCUAAUUAAUUUUUAUAUUCAUGUUGAUAAUGAAUAUGAUUAUCUUUCAUGUGAGUUUUUUUUUCACAUGGACAUGUUAAUCCAAUUUAUCUUGAAUAGUUCAUUUUCUUUUUAUUAUUAUUUUAUUAGGUAUUUUCUUUUUUUUAAGAUUUAUUUAUUUAUUAUAUGUAAGUACACUGUAGCUGUCUUCAGACACUCCAAAAGAGGGCAUCAGAUUUCGUUACGGAUGGUUGUGAGCCACCACAUGGUUGCUGGGAUUUGAACUUGGGACCUUUGGAAGAGCAGUCAGCACUCUUAACCACUGAGCCAUCUCACCAGCCCAGAUAUUUUCUUUAUUUACAUUUCAAAUGCUAUCCCGAAAGUUCCCUAUACCCCCCCAGAGGCCCCCCCCCCCCGUCCUGCUCCCCUACCCACCCACAAUAGUUCAUUUUCUUAUGGAAAGGGUUUAUUUUGUUUUUAGAGACAGGGUCUCACUCUGUAGUCCUGCCUGGCUUCGAACUUGCAAUCCUCCUGCCUUAACUUUCCAAUGUUGUGACUAUAGCCACGCACCAGCACACCCCACUUGAAAAGGGCCCAUUCUCAAGUUUCAUUCUUUAAACAAGCUGCUUUAUUUUCAUUGGUUGUUUUGUUUUCAUACAGACUCAUGUAAACAGUUGACCUAUACUUUGGAAAGUUGUUGGGGAAGUCUUGGUUUAUUUUGUUUACCUUGUCCUUCGAUGGUGUGGGGUAUCAAGGCUGUAUGAUUCUCAAGAAACAUUACUGAGUACUUAUUUUCUUCCUCCUUCCUCGAAUAUUUUAUAUAAGAUAUAAAGCCUGUGUUCCUUAGAAAAACAUAAAAUUUUCUCUCUGUGUGUCUUAGUUUCUAUGGCUUCGAUGGAACACCAUGACCAAAGCAAGGUGGGAAGGAAAGGGCUGAUUUAUUUGACUUAUGCUUCCAUAUCACUGUCCAUCAUUGAAGGAAGUCAGGACAAGAACUCACACAGGAAGCUGGAGGCAGGAGCUGAUACAGAGGCCAUGGAGGAGUGCUGCUUACUGGCUUGCUCCCCAUUGCUUGCUCUGCCUGCUUUCUUAUGGAACGUAAGACCACCAGCCAGGCAUGGCACCACCCACAAAAAAUUAGGCCUACAUCAAUCACUACUUAAGAAAAUGCCCCAUACAGCAGCUGUUCUCAACCUGUGGGUCACAAGUCCUGCAGGUGUUGCUUAUCAGAUAUUUACAAAUAUGAUUCAUAACAGUAGCAAAUUUCAGUUAUGAAGUAGUAACAAAAUGAUUUGAUGAUCGCGGUGUACUGGCUGGUUUUGUGUGUCAACUUGACACAGCUGGGGUUAUCCCAGAGAAGGGAGCUUCAGUUGAGGAAAUGCCUCCAUGAGAUCCAGCUGUAAGGCAUUUUCUCAGUUAGUGAUCAAGGGGGAAAGGCCCCUUGUGGGUGGGACCAUCUGGGGGCUGGUAGUCUUGGUUCUUUAAGAGAGCAGGCUGAGCAAGCCAGGGGAAACAAGCCAGUAAAGAACAUCCCUCCAUGGCCUCUGCAUCCACUCCUGCUUCCUGACCUGCUUAAGUUCUGGUCAUGACUUACUUUGGUGAUGAACAGCAACAUGAAGUGUUGGCUGAAUAAACCCUUUCCUCCCCAUCUUGUUCUUGGUCAUGAUCUUUGUGCAGGAAUAGAAACCCUGACUAAGACAGCAUGCAAACUUUAUUUUGCAUAAGUUAUAAACUUGAAAAAGCAGAAAUCUGAAUAAACUAACUAUU
rnacentral:lncRNA from 1 species